rnacentral:rRNA from 1 species
CGGGGGUGCUAUACAUGCAAGUCGAGCGGACAGAAGGGAGCUUGCUCCCGGAUGUUAGCGGCGGACGGGUGAGUAACACGUGGGUAACCUGCCUGUAAGACUGGGAUAACUCCGGGAAACCGGAGCUAAUACCGGAUAGUUCCUUGAACCGCAUGGUUCAAGGAUGAAAGACGGUUUCGGCUGUCACUUACAGAUGGACCCGCGGCGCAUUAGCUAGUUGGUGAGGUAACGGCUCACCAAGGCGACGAUGCGUAGCCGACCUGAGAGGGUGAUCGGCCACACUGGGACUGAGACACGGCCCAGACUCCUACGGGAGGCAGCAGUAGGGAAUCUUCCGCAAUGGACGAAAGUCUGACGGAGCAACGCCGCGUGAGUGAUGAAGGUUUUCGGAUCGUAAAGCUCUGUUGUUAGGGAAGAACAAGUGCAAGAGUAACUGCUUGCACCUUGACGGUACCUAACCAGAAAGCCACGGCUAACUACGUGCCAGCAGCCGCGGUAAUACGUAGGUGGCAAGCGUUGUCCGGAAUUAUUGGGCGUAAAGGGCUCGCAGGCGGUUUCUUAAGUCUGAUGUGAAAGCCCCCGGCUCAACCGGGGAGGGUCAUUGGAAACUGGGAAACUUGAGUGCAGAAGAGGAGAGUGGAAUUCCACGUGUAGCGGUGAAAUGCGUAGAGAUGUGGAGGAACACCAGUGGCGAAGGCGACUCUCUGGUCUGUAACUGACGCUGAGGAGCGAA